CCCUUUGAAGAGAUUUAGGGUGGCGCCUGCCCAGUGAGAAUUUUAAAUGGCCGCGGUACUCUGACCGUGCUAAGGUAGCAUAAUCAAUUGGCCUUUAAUUGAGGUCUGGAAUGAAUGGAAAAACGGGGUUUAACUGUCUCACGAGUUUUAUAUCAAAUUUACUAAUAAGGUGCAAAGGCCUUAGAAAGAAAAAAGACGAGAAGACCCUUAGAGUUUUACGUAUUUUGUUGGGGCGACAAAGAGUCAUAUAAAACACUCUUUUUUUGAUAGGCCGGUUUUUUCAUGUGAAGAUAAACUACCUGAGGGAUAACAGCAUAAUCUAGAUUAGGUUUGUGACCUCGAUGUUGGACUAGGAAGUCUGUUAAUUAGAAGUUAACAAGAGAGAUUCUGUUCGAAUUUUUAUUCCUA
rnacentral:rRNA from 1 species